UACGGAGGGGGCUAGCGUUGUUCGGAAUUACUGGGCGUAAAGCGCACGUAGGCGGCUUUGUAAGUUAGAGGUGAAAGCCCAGGGCUCAACCCUGGAAUUGCCUUUGAUACUGCAAAUCUCGAGUCCGGAAGAGGUGAGUGGAAUUCCUAGUGUAGAGGUGAAAUUCGUAGAUAUUAGGAAGAACACCAGUGGCGAAGGCGGCUCACUGGUCCGGUACUGACGCUGAGGUGCGAAAGCGUGGGGAGCAAACAGG
rnacentral:rRNA from 1 species